GAUGAACGCUGGCGGCGUGCUUAACACAUGCAAGUCGAACGGUGAACACGGAGCUUGCUCUGUGGGAUCAGUGGCGAACGGGUGAGUAACACGUGAGCAACCUGCCCCUGACUCUGGGAUAAGCGCUGGAAACGGCGUCUAAUACUGGAUAUGUGACGUGACCGCAUGGUCUGCGUUUGGAAAGAUUUUUCGGUUGGGGAUGGGCUCGCGGCCUAUCAGCUAGUUGGUGAGGUAAUGGCGGACCAAGUCGUCGACGGGUAGCCGGCCUGAGAGGGUGACCGGGCACACUGGUACUAAGGGACGGCCCAGACUCCUACGGGAGGCAGCAGUGGGGAAUAUUGCACAAUGGGCGCGAGCCUGAUGCAACAGCGCCGCGUGAGGGAUGACGGCCUUCGGGUUGUAAACCUCUUUUAGCAGAGAAGAAGCGAUAGUGACGGUACCUACAGAAAAAGCGCCGGCUAACUACGUG
rnacentral:rRNA from 1 species